rnacentral:rRNA from 1 species
AGAGAGAGACAUGCGCGCAUAUCAAUAAGCGGAGGAAAAGAAACUAACAAGGAUUCCCCUAGUAACGGCGAGUGAAGCGGGAAGAGCUCAAAUUUGAAAUCUUAAAGGGUUUCCCUUUACGAAUUGUAGUUUAAAGAAGUGUUUUCUGUUGAGGUUUUGGUAAAAGUUCUUUGGAAUAGGACAUCAUAGAGGGUGAGAAUCCCGUAUUUGACCUUUACUUUCAACUUUGUGAUACACUUUCAAAGAGUCGGAUUGUUUGGGAAUGCAGUCCAAAAUGGGUGGUAAAUUUCAUCUAAAGCUAAAUAUUGGCGAGAGACCGAUAGCGAACAAGUACCGUGAGGGAAAGAUGAAAAGAACUUUGAAAAGAGAGUUAAACAGUACGUGAAAUUGUCAAAAGGGAAGCGUUUGACACCAGUGUUGUUUUUCUGAAAAUCAAUUAAAGAACUGUUAUAUGCUAAGCUGUUUAGACUUUAUCAGCUAACUGUUUAGUUUUGAGCUUUUCUUUAAUGCACUUUUCAGUUAACAAGUCAACAUCAAUUUCUUUUGCUGUAAAAAAGCUUGAGGAAGGUGGCUUGAGAUUCGUCUUAAGUGUUUAUAGCCUCUUGCCUAUGCAGUCGGAGAGAUUGAGGUCUGUAGCGUAGAUCCUUCGGGGCUAAAUGCAUUUGUGCUAAGUUAUAGCAUUUUAUAGACAACUUGUUGACUAUGAUUUGUCUUGUAGCUUACUCGCUUAUGUUAUUUUACCUACGCUUAGGAUGUUGAACGCAUGUCUCUCUCU